CAGUCGCCACGGUAAUACGUAGGGUGCGAGCGUUAAUCGGAAUUACUGGGCGUAAAGCGUGCGCAGGCGGUGAUGUAAGACAGUUGUGAAAUCCCCGGGCUCAACCUGGGAACUGCAUCUGUGACUGCAUCGCUGGAGUGCGGCAGAGGGGGAUGGAAUUCCGCGUGUAGCAGUGAAAUGCGUAGAUAUGCGGAGGAACACCGAUGGCGAAGGCAAUCCCCUGGGCCUGCACUGACGCUCAUGCACGAAAGCGUGGGGAGCAAACAGGAUUAGAUACCCCCGUAGUCCCUGUCUCUUAUAC
rnacentral:rRNA from 1 species